GUGGGGAAUAUUGCACAAUGGGGGAAACCCUGAUGCAGCGACGCCGCGUGAGUGAAGAAGUAUUUCGGUACGUAAAGCUCUAUCAGCAAGGAAGAAAAUGACGGUACUUGACUAAGAAGCCCCGGCUAACUACGUGCCAGCAGCCGCGGUAAUACGUAGGGGGCAAGCGUUAUCCGGAUUUACUGGGUGUAAAGGGAGCGUAGACGGUAUGGUAAGUCAGAUGUGAAAGCCCGGGGCUCAACCCCGGGACUGCAUUUGAAACUAGCAGACUAGAGUGCAGGAGAGGUAAGUGGAAUUCCUAGUGUAGCGGUGAAAUGCGUAGAUAUUAGGAGGAACACCAGUGGCGAAGGCGGCUUACUGGACUGUAACUGACGUUGAGGCUCGAAAGCGUGGGGAGCAAACAGGAUUAGAUACCCCAGUAGUCC
rnacentral:rRNA from 1 species